rnacentral:rRNA from 1 species
AUUGAACGCUGGCGGCAGGCCUAACACAUGCAAGUCGAGCGGAUGACGGGAGCUUGCUCCUUGAUUCAGCGGCGGACGGGUGAGUAAUGCCUAGGAAUCUGCCUGGUAGUGGGGGACAACGUUUCGAAAGGAACGCUAAUACCGCAUACGUCCUACGGGAGAAAGCAGGGGACCUUCGGGCCUUGCGCUAUCAGAUGAGCCUAGGUCGGAUUAGCUAGUAGGUGAGGUAAUGGCUCACCUAGGCGACGAUCCGUAACUGGUCUGAGAGGAUGAUCAAUCACAAUGGAACUGAGACACGGUCCAGACUCCUACGGGAGGCAGCAGUGGGGAAUAUUGGACAAUGGGCGAAAGCCUGAUCCAGCCAUGCCGCGUGUGUGAAGAAGGUCUUCGGAUUGUAAAGCACUUUAAGUUGGGAGGAAGGGCAGUAAGUUAAUACCUUGCUGUUUUGACGUUACCGACAGAAUAAGCACCGGCUAACUCUGUGCCAGCCGCCGCAGUAAAAC